rnacentral:rRNA from 1 species
CUGCCAGUAAUGAUAUGCUUGUGUUAAAGAUUAAGCCAUGCAUGUAUGAGUACAAGCCAAAAUAAGGUGAAACCGCGAAUGGCUCAUUAAAUCAGUCAUAAUUUGCUGGCCGAGACUGUGAUACAUGGAUAACUGUGGUAAUUCUAGAGCUAAUACAUGCAACCGAGACCUAGCCCGGCCCGUUCGCGGGUCGGCGGGUCGCUUUUAUUAGCUGAAAACCGAUGAUCGUUGGGCUCACGCUCGGCGGUCGUUAUCCGUUGAAUCACAAUAACAUUGCGUGGAUCGUACGGUCUUGUACCGACGACGCGCUCUCUAAAUGUCUGCCCUAUCAGCUGUCGACGGUUAGCUAGUGGCUGACCGUGGCUGUGACGGGUAACGGGGAAUCUGGGUUCGAUUCCGGAGAGGCAGCCUGAGAGACGGCUACCACAUCUAAGGAAGGCAGCAGGCGCGUAACUUACCCACUCCCAGCUCAGGGAGGUAGUGACAAUAAAUACCUUACAGAGGUGCCGUUCAUCGGUAUCUCUCAAACGGAAUGAGUACAAUGUGAAUCCUUUAACGAGGAUCAACUGGAGGGCAAGCCUGGUGCCAGCAGCCGCGGUAAUUCCAGCUCCAGUAGCAUAUAUUAAAGCUGUUGCGGUUAAAAAGCUCGUAGUUGGAUAUCAGUGCGUGUCCACGUCCGGUAUGCUCGGUUGGCUGCGUUCGCGCGUGGCCGCCGGGCUAAACAGUAUCGGCUGGCCGCAUUUAAAUGUGCCGGAUCCGUUGACGGGCCGUUUUUUCCGAAGCGGCCUGUCGGCGACCGGCGAUGUUACCUUGAACAAAUUUGAGUGCUCAAGGCAGGCUAUCAACGCCUGAAAAUAUAUUCAUGGAAUUGGAGAAUAUGUCCCUGACUCGAUUUGGUUGGUUUUUCGAGUCGAAGGGAAAUGAUUAAUAGGGACUGACGGAGGCAUUCGUAUUGCAGCGCGAGGGGUGGAAUCCUGUGACC